UUGGCGGACGGGUGAGUAACACGUGAGUAACCUACCUUUCAAAGGGGGAUAACGUCUGGAAACGGACGCUAAUACCGCAUAAUACUAUUUGAGGGCAUCCUUGGAUAGUCAAAGGAGAAAUCCGAUGGGAGAUGGACUCGCGGCUGAUUAGAUAGUUGGCGGGGUAGAGGCCCACCAAGUCGACGAUCAGUAGCCGGACUGAGAGGUUGAACGGCCACAUUGGGACUGAGACACGGCCCAGACUCCUACGGGAGGCAGCAG
rnacentral:rRNA from 1 species